rnacentral:lncRNA from 1 species
CCCAAAGCGAAAAACAGACCUAUUUGGAAGUAAGGAGGGAGAUGCACUUAGAGGAUGCCACCCGAUUCUGUCCAAAGGAAGAAAGAGAGAGUGAACAGACUUCUUUCAGCGAUCAAAAUCCCAGGCAAGACCAGAAAGGGGGCUUUCGCAGCUCCUUCCGCAAGCUCUUUAAAAAGAAGUCCAGUGGAUCAGAAUACAGGGAAAAAACUAAUGAGAAUCCCUCAAUGGAUCCUUCACCCACCAAACAAGAUUUCUUCAGAAACCGACUUGCUCUUGCAAAUGACCUUGACCAAGGAACAGCUGUGUAAACACAUUUACAGUUGUAUUGUCAAGUGGUAAGAGGAGGGUAAAAGCUUGUAUAUAUCUCUGCAGGAAUAUAUAUAUAUACAUAUAUAUAUAUCAAUGCAUAAAUCCCUGAGGAAAACUAAUAUAAAUAUUUACAUAUGAAACUAAAUCAACAUACAAGAUAUUGAAGAGAUGAAGAUUAGUCUAUGGUUAAGACUUGGCUUAAUGAACCUCAACACUUGGGAAAAGGGAAAUGAAGACUUUUCACAUCAUUACAGAAAAACAUAAUAAAUUUGGAG